GAUGAAGAACGUAGCGAAAUGCGAUACGUAAUGUGAAUUGCAGAAUUCAGUGAAUCAUCGAGUCUUUGAACGCACAUUGCGCCUUUUGGUAUUCCGAGAGGCACGUCUGUUCGAGCGUCAGUAAAACCCCUUCCGGGCACUUUUUUUUAGUGCCUCGGGACCAUGGCGUCGAGGAAUAUAGGUGCGCCUGCCGCUGACCGCGGCGGCGUUGAGCCUUCCCCCGCUUAAAUAGGUGAAUACGACAGCGGGCAUCCGGCCCCCAUAUCUGCGACGACUCGUAAAACCUCUUACCGUCGUUCCGUCGGAUUGGACCUGCCCCGCCUCUUGAAACUUACAAACCUGACUCUUGACCUCGGAUCAGAUGAGGAUACCCGCUGAACUUAAGCAUAUCAAUAAGCGGAGGA
rnacentral:misc_RNA from 1 species